AUGGGGCCUGGAGUCGAUGAGGUGCGACUCUUGCUUGUCCUCGCCUUGUGCCCUGCAGUGUACGGGGGCUACUGGCAGGAGUAUGCUGUGGGCUACCGGACCGCUCCGCUGUUUCCAACGCCAUACGCUUACAACCUACGGUCUGCUGAGCCAGUACUCAACGGGACACUUCGUGGGUUGUUCCCGCCUGUUACUUGCCAGGGAAGGAAGCUGUCUACCAUCCUUAUCCAUGCCACCGUGCAGGCAGGUAUCAAUCUGACACAUGAAAUACACUUGUCAUCGGACGGCACCACACAUGCGACGGAGGACGGAAAAGAAACUGAUCUGCCAGUGGCGCAAUUGUGCGGCUCCAUUGACAUUUGGGACAAGGGGACAACGGCGGAUGUGACCAUUCCGCCAUGGACAGUUAAGACCAUGGUGCGCAAUCAGUCGGUGGCCUGGUUGUGGGUGGGGCCACCGGGCCAAGCUCCUGCACCGGAGGACUUUUUCCCUGGGGAUGUUUGGACUGUAAACAGCCAUGCGACGGCCCCUUACCAAUCGGUCCGCGUCGCGCAUGUUUCGAACUCUGUUCAUUGGCGUUUACCUAACCCCUAUUGGUUGCUCUGUUCUCAGGAACGUGCUUGGAAGGUGAUUCCAGCUAACACGACACUUGGUUUGUGCUCUAUGGGUCUGCUAUUGUGGCCACAUCGCACUGUUCGCAGCCCUCGAGCAACCCGAGGAGUCUGUAACAUUCCGGUGUUGUUAAAAAUGAGAGAUAAAAGGUCAGUUCAGUUCACACAGCAAACAAGGAGCAAUCAAGAGGAAAAUUUAAUGAUAGGGUUAAUUAGAGAUUUCGCAAAAAUGCAGAAUGUGAGUCAAGUGGCCGCUUGUUUACCUAUACCUAAAUCCGCAGGUGAUUCUAUACCCUGGGGUAUAAUCACAUCACCGAUACCCCAGAUUGAGAAAAACAAAACAAUCCAAUGUGAAUCAGAAACAGUCAUAGAGACAGAAAGGCUGGAAGGGUUUUAUAGAAAGUGUCAGAUUCGCCUUUAUUCUGGGUGUCAAAAGGAAAGAAAUUACAUAUUUACGGACCUAGACAACGAGGAUGGACGACUAGGGAUGUGUGAGUAUGAUGCACCACGCACACGACAAAAGGAAAAGGUUAUAUGGAAGUGUAAAGAAGGUAACGAGAUAGGAGGAUUAGAGGGUUGGGAGUCAGCAUGGGCAUUAAGUAUACUGCAGAAAUACCAAUAUGGAGGGAAUACUCCUUGGUGUUUGCAGUGGGUGGGAAGGACAAAUAAUGACCAGAGUUUACUAUACGAGACGGCUCAGAGGGAAACUAGUAGUCGGGAGAGGGUAAAGUCAGUCCCGUGGUGGAAUUGUACACAAAUAUUCAAUUGUGAUACUGCUUUAGAAACAAUAUCUCUGCUCCCGGUAAAGAUAGCCCUAGCCACCGGAUGUGCAUGCAGAGGUCUGCAAGUUAACAUGAGUAUAACCAACCGGAAUAUAGCCAGCCAGACUGGUAGGGAAAAGACCUUAGUGAAUUGUAAAUCCUCGACUAUACGAAGCAUGGGACAUUUUGUGUGGGCCGCCAGUGAUGGAACUUGGACGACUCAUUUAAGUUUGGAUGGCCCAGUAAAAGAAAUUACUUUAGGAUUGCCCACCCUUUGCCCGCUUUGGAAAAAAUCUCCUCUCAUAGAGAGAAGGACAAAAAGAGAAGUAAGUGAAGAAGAUAAGUGGCAGGAACCGUCCACUGGGGUAAAGAUAGGAUGGGUGGUAGAAUCGUUGUUUGCCCCGAUAGCCUCCUACCACAACAGGGAGCUGAUAUACAAUUUGAUGGGGCAAGUACAUAGAUUGGCCGACAUAACCAAAAGGGGGUUUAAGGAAUUAAAUAUACAGUUACAAGCCACAACAAGAAUGACCCUGCAGAAUAGAUUGGCCCUGGAUAUGCUUCUGUUAAAGGAACAUGGCGUCUGUGGAUACCUUAAAGAUAAGGUUGGCCAUUGUUGUAUACACAUUCCGAAUGUAACUGCCGAUGUAGAACGUGACAUAUCCCAAAUAGCCCAGGUAGAAGGCAAAAUAAAAGAAGAGCAGCGUGACGCAGAACAGAAUUGGCUGGGGGCAACUCUCGAGGGGUUAGGCUUUCAGCUAGAAGGAUGGCUUAAAUCGCUUUUGCAAACAAUAUUGCUACUGGUAAUAGUAUUCAUUGUGAUAGGGCUGGUAUAUGCAUGUAUUAAAGCAAAAAUAGAUAGAAGCAGUACAAUGAAUCGCAGCAUGCUGACCAUUCUCACCAAGAAUCAUGAAGGGUUCCCAUUGCCACCGCUUGCUCCUGGGAUGGAUACUUGUCUCUAA
rnacentral:lncRNA from 1 species